rnacentral:rRNA from 1 species
CCUACGGGAGACAGCAGUGGGGAAUAUUGGGCAAUGGGCGCAAGCCUGACCCAGCAACGCCGCGUGAAGGAAGAAGGCUUUCGGGUUGUAAACUUCUUUUGUCAGGGAAGAGUAGAAGACGGUACCCGGAGAAAAAGCAUCGGCUAACUCCGUGCCAGCAGCCGCGGUAAUACGGAGGAUGCGAGCGUUAUCCGGAUUUAUUGGGUUAAAAGGGUGCGUAGGCGGAUCGUUAAGUCAGUGGUCAAAUUGAGGGGCUCAACCCCUUCCCGCCAUUGAAACUGGCGUUCUUGAGUGGAAGAGAAGUAGGCGGAAUGCGUGGUGUAGCGGUGAAAUGCAUAGAUAUCACGCAGAACCCCGAUUGCGAAGGCAGCAUGCCGGCUUCCGACUGACGCUGAAGCACGAAAGCGUGGGGAUCGAACAGGAUUAGAUACCCCUGUAGUC